rnacentral:rRNA from 1 species
GACGAACGCUGGCGGCGUGCUUAACACAUGCAAGUCGAACGGAAAGGCCCUGCUUUUGUGGGGUGCUCGAGUGGCGAACGGGUGAGUAACACGUGAGUAACCUGCCCUUGACUUUGGGAUAACUUCAGGAAACUGGGGCUAAUACCGGAUAGGAGCUCCUGCUGCAUGGUGGGGGGUGGAAAGUUUCGGCGGUUGGGGAUGGACUCGCGGCUUAUCAGCUUGUUGGUGGGGUAGUGGCUUACCAAGGCUUUGACGGGUAGCCGGCCUGAGAGGGUGACCGGCCACAUGGGGACUGAGAUACGGCCCAGACUCCUACGGGAGGCAGCAGUGGGGAAUAUUGCACAAUGGGUGGAAGCCUGAUGCAGCAACGCCGCGUGCGGGAUGACGGCCUUCGGGUUGUAAACCGCUUUCGCCUGUGACGAAGCGUGAGUGACGGUAAUGGGUAAAGAAGCACCGGCUAACUACGUG